UAAGGAAUAUUGCUCAAUGGGAGAAAUCCUGAAGCAGCAACGCCGCGUGGAGGAUGAAGGGUCUAUGACUUGUAAACUCCUGUAAAGAAGGAAAAAAUUCCCAUUUGAUGGGAGAUGAUGGUACUUCUGGAGUAAGCCCCGGCUAACUACGUGCCAGCAGCCGCGGUAAUACGUAGGGGGCAAGCGUUGUCCGGAAUUACUGGGCGUAAAGCGCACGCAGGCGGUCUGUCAAGUCGGAUGUGAAAUCCCCGGGCUCAACCUGGGAACUGCAUUCGAAACUGGCAGGCUAGAGUCUUGUAGAGGGGGGUAGAAUUCCAGGUGUAGCGGUGAAAUGCGUAGAGAUCUGGAGGAAUACCGGUGGCGAAGGCGGCCCCCUGGACAAAGACUGACGCUCAGGUGCGAAAGCGUGGGGAGCAAACA
rnacentral:rRNA from 1 species